UUGGAAGCUGCUCUAAGCUGCCCCCGUUUUCUGCGGUAUCCACGGCAGCAUCUGAUCAGCAGCCUGGCAGAGGCAAGGCCAGAGGAACUGACUCCCCACGUGAUGGUGCUCCUGGCCCAGCACCUGGCCCGGCACCGGUUGCGGGAGCCCCAGCUUCUGGAAGCCAUUGCCCACUUCCUGGUGGUUCAGGAAACCCAGCUCAGCAGCAAGGUGGUACAGAAGUUGGUCCUGCCCUUUGGGCGGCUGAACUACCUGCCCCUGGAACAGCAGUUUAUGCCCUGCCUUGAGAGGAUCCUGGCUCGGGAAGCAGGGGUGGCACCCCUGGCUACAGUCAACAUCUUGAUGUCACUGUGCCAACUGCGGUGCCUGCCCUUCAGAGCCCUGCACUUUGUUUUUUCCCCUGGCUUCAUCAACUACAUCAGUGGCACCCCUCAUGCUCUGAUUGUGCGUCGCUACCUCUCCCUGCUGGACACGGCCGUGGAGCUGGAGCUCCCAGGAUACCGGGGUCCCCGCCUUCCCCGAAGGCAGCAAGUGCCCAUCUUUCCCCAGCCUCUCAUCACCGACCGUGCCCGCUGCAAGUACAGUCACAAGGACAUAGUAGCUGAGGGGUUGCGCCAGCUGCUGGGGGAGGAGAAAUACCGCCAGGACCUGACUGUGCCUCCAGGCUACUGCACAGGUGAGCAAGGGGCAGGCGGCAGGCCCAGGGAGACGGAGCCCUGGCUAAGGCCGCCGGCCCUGCUCCCCCUCCAGACUUCCUGCUGUGCGUCAGCAGCUCUGGUGCUGUGCUUCCCGUGAGGACCCAGGACCCCUUCCUGCCAUACCCACCAAGGUCCUGCCCACAGGGCCAGGCCGCCUCUAGCCCCACUACUCGAGACCCUGCCCAGAGGUAAGGGAGGCAGGGUGGGGGAGCCCUGGCCACCUUGCCCGCCAUGCCCUGAGCCACAUCCCUCCCCCUGCAGGGUGGUGCUGGUGUUGCGGGAACGCUGGCAUUUCUGCCGGGACGGCAGGGUGCUGCUGGGCUCGAGAGCCCUGAGGGAGCGGCACCUAGGCCUGAUGGGCUACCAGCUCCUGCCGGUGAGUGGCCCUGGCCUGGCCCGUGGCGUAUCCUCACUCCGGGCCUGCGGGUAACCUGCCGCCAUCUCCUCUCCCCACAGCUACCCUUCGAGGAACUGGAGUCCCAGAGAGGCCUGCCCCAGCUCAAGAGCUACCUGAGGCAGAAGCUCCAGGCCCUGGGCCUGCGCUGGGGGCCUGAAGGGGGCUGAGGGGAUGAUGUGGGGUUCAGGAUGGCCCCCCCAUGGGGGGUGGAUGAUUUGCACUUUGGUUCCCUAUGUU
rnacentral:sRNA from 1 species